GAUAAUUUUGGACCUCAAAGUUCAAACCGAAACGCACCUGGAAGUUAAUCUCUUCAAGCAUGGCUUUGAGAUCCCCUUUUCGUUCGUCUUCAAUCUUUCAAAACCCAUCUCUGAAGGUUAAUGUUCUAUUCUUGUCAGCUCACUUACACGGUCUCACUACUUCAAGCUCCAAACAUGAAGUUUUGUAUUCUUUCGAAAAACCCCUUGAACGAUCCUCGCUUGCUAAAUUCCUCAAAGAAAAUUGUCGAUCAGAUUGUUUAAUGCACUUGCAAAGAAGAAGCAUUAUUAUGAAGUGAUUUCUCUUUAUAAGUCGUUGACUUCAACUGGGUUGUCUCCACAUUUAAUGUCGUUGAAUAUUUUGAUGUAUUGCUUGGCUAAGAUUAAAAGGGUUUCGUAUAGUUUUGCGGUUUGAAGAAGGGUUUUAGCCCGAAUGCCGUGACUUUUAAUUGUUUGAUUAAAGGUCUGUGUGUAGAGCGAAAGAUUAUGGAGUCGAUCGAAUUGUUUUUCCUAAUUCAUGGACAUAUAGCAUUUUUAUUGAUGGACUUUGCAAGAAUGGAUAUGUUUGUAAGCAGUGGAAAUGUUUAAUACUCUAGUAAAUAAUAAGUUUGCAGUUAGCCUUGAAGGUUUGAGUUCUCUCAUUGAUGGAUUAUGCAAAACAGGGAGAUUUGAAGCUGCUUGGGACCUAUUUCAGAAAUUUUGUCUUCAUGGAAACCUUGUGCCGAACGUUGUAACAUAUAGCAUUUUGAUCAAUGGGCUGUGCAACAUUGGACAAGUAGAAAAGGCAAAUGAGUUGUUGUCAUAUAUGGAGGAAAAAGGUUGUGCUCCAGAUGUAGUCACAUUUAAUACACUUAUCUUUGGUUUCCUCAAAAAUAAUAAGAUACCAAAAGUUGUUGAAUUCCUUCAUAAGAUGGCGGAGAGAAAUGUGAGGCCGACUGCAUGUUCAAUGUCCUUAGUUAUGCAGUUACUAAAGAAGGCUGAAAAUUAUUGUGAAUGUUUGAACCAGCUUCCUCGAUUUCUGGUCCAAAAGCCAAAUUGAAGUUUUUAUGACAACAAUUUAGUGAGUAGUUAACUUUAUUCAAAGCAGAAUCCUUAUCAAGAGAUCUUUAUUUGACAGCAUUUAAAUAUAAAACUACACAAGAUCAUCCGGCUCCCCAAAUGUUCUGUUUUGUUUACGGAAACAUGGGAUGAACGUGAUUAUCAAUUUGUACGCCCUCCCAAGGCUCUCAGAAUGGUAAUGACCACAGUGGGACAAGAGAUGGUUAUCAGGAAUGGGGAGAUUCCAACAUUCAAGAUAUUGUGUUUGUCAUAAACUUACUUGCUGCAAGGUAUGCUAAUCAAUCAAGUCUGGCACCAGGAGUUACACUAGAUACUCUUGAAUAGUAUUACAAAGCCGGUUAUAAUGCUGUGAGAAAAUACACCUCAAAGUGCUUAUGUAAUCCUUUCCAAUCGUUUCCGUUUGGGAUCUCCGGUUGAUCCGAAAGAGCUCCUCCAGCUUGCAAAUGGGGCUAGUGGAGUCGCCAUUGAUGUGCAUUACUACAACCUCUUCUCAGACAUGUUUAACAACUUCGACGUGCAGUAGAACAUCGAUUAUAUCUAUAAUUAAUGAGCUUUUAGUCUAAAAUCUAUCGCCGCAUCUAAUGGCCCUCUAAUUUUCAUUAGUAAGCGCAACGAUAGUUUAAGCUUUUGAGUUAGGCGAUUAUUUACUUAAACAUUGUCAGACCUAAAAGUAGUCGGGUUUUGCGGGGGAAUGGACUUGUGAUUUGGGCGUACAAGGAGCAUCGAUGGCUGAUUUACAAGAGGUUUUGCAAGGUUCAUAUAGACGUGUUAAUUUCCAGAUUGACUUGUCUUCUAUUUGAACAUUCUAGGUCAAGGAUAUUGAUGUGUUUUAAUGACAAACAAGUGAUUCGUAAUGGCUGGAAAAUAAUUUGUUGGAGUGAAAUUCAUGACACAGAGAUAGAAUUAUUGACUUUCAGCUACCAUGCAUUAACAUUCCUUGCUCCGAAAAGACUGUAAACCAUAUAUUUUUAGCUUAUAGGUUGUUCAUAAUAUGAUUGAAUAUUUAUU